GCUGGCCGCUCCUCCCCCUCGGCUCCUCGGCUGCUCGGCGGGCGGGCGCCGGGCGCUCUGGGAGGAGAAGACUGCAGGGCCGAGCCCAGCGCACCCCGCCGCGUCCCCCGUUCCCGCCGUGCCCGCCGCUCCCACCGCGCCUGCCGCGGCCGCGACCGCGGCAGCUCAGCCUCCCGCCGGUUGUAUGUUCCAGGCCUCAAUGAGGAGUCCAAACAUGGAGCCAUUCAAGCAGCAGAAGGUGGAAGACUUUUAUGACAUCGGAGAGGAGCUGGGGAGUGGCCAGUUUGCCAUCGUGAAGAAGUGCCGGGAGAAGAGCACGGGGCUUGAGUAUGCAGCCAAGUUCAUCAAGAAGCGGCAGAGCCGGGCGAGCCGGCGCGGUGUGAGCCGGGAGGAGAUCGAGCGGGAGGUGAGCAUCCUGCGGCAGGUGCUGCACCACAAUGUCAUCACGCUGCACGACGUCUACGAGAACCGCACCGACGUGGUGCUCAUCCUUGAGCUAGUGUCUGGAGGAGAGCUCUUCGAUUUCCUGGCCCAGAAGGAGUCACUGAGUGAGGAGGAGGCCACCAGCUUCAUUAAGCAGAUCCUGGAUGGGGUGAACUACCUUCACACAAAGAAAAUUGCUCACUUUGAUCUCAAGCCAGAAAACAUUAUGUUGUUAGACAAGAAUAUUCCCAUUCCACACAUCAAGCUGAUUGACUUUGGUCUGGCUCACGAGAUAGAAGAUGGAGUUGAAUUUAAGAAUAUUUUUGGGACGCCGGAAUUUGUUGCUCCAGAAAUUGUGAACUACGAGCCCCUGGGUCUGGAGGCUGACAUGUGGAGCAUAGGCGUCAUCACCUACAUCCUCUUAAGUGGAGCAUCCCCUUUCCUGGGAGACACGAAGCAGGAAACACUGGCAAAUAUCACAGCAGUGAGUUACGACUUUGAUGAGGAAUUCUUCAGCCAGACGAGCGAGCUGGCCAAGGACUUCAUUCGGAAGCUUCUGGUUAAAGAGACCCGGAAACGGCUCACAAUCCAAGAGGCUCUCAGACACCCCUGGAUCACGCCGGUGGACAACCAGCAAGCCAUGGUGCGCAGGGAGUCUGUGGUCAAUCUGGAGAACUUCAGGAAGCAGUAUGUCCGCAGGCGGUGGAAGCUUUCCUUCAGCAUCGUGUCCCUGUGCAACCACCUCACCCGCUCGCUGAUGAAGAAGGUGCACCUGAGGCCGGAUGAGGACCUGACAGAGUUUCACUCUUAUUGCUUAGGUUGGAGUGCAGUGGCGCCAUCUCGACUCACCGCAACCUCUGCCUCCUGGCUUCAAGCGAUUCUCCUGCGUCAGCCUCCUGAGUAGCUGGGAUUACAGUCAUGCGCCACCACACCCAGCUAAUUUUGUAUUUUUAGUAGAGAUGGGGUUUCUCCAUGUUGGUCAGGCUGGUCUCGAACUCCCGACUUCAGGUGAUCUGCCCGCCUCGGCCUCCCAAAAUGCUGGGAUUACAGGCAUAAGCCACCAUGCCAAGCCAAUAAUGACAUAUUCUUAAAGCCUGGCAUAGGAACUGUGAGAGUGACACUGAGGAGGACAUCGCCAGGAGGAAAGCCCUCCACCCACGGAGGAGGAGCAGCACCUCCUAACUGGCCUGACCUGCAGUGGCCGCCAGGGAGGUCUGGGCCCAGCGGGACUCCCUUCUGUGCAGACUCUUGGACCCAGCUCAGCACCAGCACCCGGGCGUCCUGAGCACUUUGCAAGAGAGAUGGGCCCAAGGAAUCCAGAAGAGCUUGCAGGCGAGCCAGGAGACCCUGGGAGCUGUGGCUGUCUUCUGUGGAGGAGGCUCCAGCAUUCCCAAAGCUCUUAAUUCUCCAUAAAAUGGGCUUUCCUCUGUCUGCCAUCCUCAGAGUCUGGUGUGGGAGUGUGGACUUAGGAAAACAAUAUAAAGGACAUCCUCAUCAUCACGGGGUGAAGGUCAGACUCAGGCAGCCUUCCUCACAGGCUGAGGGGUUUCAGAACCAGCCUGGCCAAAAAUUGCACCAGAGAGACAGAGUCCUCCCCAUUGGGAACAGGGUGAUUGAGGAAAGUGAACCUUGGGUGUGAGGGACCAAUCCUGUGACCUCCCAGAACCACGGAAGCCAGGACGUCAGGCUGACCAACACCUCAGACCUUCUGAAGCAGCCCAUUGCUGGUCCGCCAUGUUGUAAUUUUGCUCAUUUUUAUUAAACUUCUGGUUUACCUGA